rnacentral:rRNA from 1 species
ACUCAAAUGAAUUGACGGGGGCCCGCACAAGCGGUGGAGCAUGUGGUUCAAUUCGACGCAACGCGAAGAACCUUACCUGGGCUCGAAGCGCAGUGGAAUCCGGAUGAAAGUUCGGCGCCCGCAAGGGCCGCUGCGGAGGUGCUGCAUGGCUGUCGUCAGCUCGUGUCGUGAGAUGUUGGGUUAAGUCCCGCAACGAGCGCAACCCUUGUCCUUAGUUGCCAUCCCGCAAGGGGGCACUCUAAGGAAACUGUCGGUCAAAAGCCGGAGGAAGGUGGGGAUGACGUCAAGUCCUCAUGGCCUUUAUGUCCAGGGCUACACACGUGCUACAAUGGGCGGUACAAAGCGUCGCAAACCCGCGAGGGGGAGCCAAUCGCAAAAAACCGCUCUCAGUUCGGAUUGCAGUCUGCAACUCGACUGCAUGAAGCUGGAAUCGCUAGUAAUCGCGGAUCAGAACGCCGCGGUGAAUACGUUCCCGGGCCUUGUACACACCGCCCGU